ACAAGACGAAGGCCUGAAGCGAUCAUUUCAGCCUGAGACUGUGAGAAAUGCUCCCUGGGCAGAGAGCGACUCUCACCAGGUUUUCUGAAGCUGUCUGCGAGACACGCUCCUCAGACUGACUCGGCGCUGCCAGCUUAUCCCAAAAAGUAUUUCCCCCGAACAUUAACGACGUCGAAAGUAGCGUACUUUAAGAGAAAAUAUGCAGAAGAGGAAGAUUUACAUCAAAGUUACCAGGGGUAUUUUCCAAAACACCUGAUACUACCCGAGGACAGAACUUGCAUCCUCAAGCUUUCUCUGGAGAAGCUUAGGUUUCUUGAAGACCCAGAAACCUACUUAAGAAGGUCCGUGUUAAUUAACAAUCUGCUGCGGAAGAUACAUCUGGAGACAGAGAAAGAGAGCUAUGAAUACUUCAGAGAAGCCCCCUGUUAUAAGACUUCUUAUUCUGAUUCAAGAAAACGGCUGAAGUUCAUGGUACAGGAAUGCUGUCCUCAGCCGGUCUACUUUGAAGAAGAGCUGCAUUCGUAUCAUAUUGUGCCUUAUGCUGCGGGGAAUGCCAUUUAUGGAAUGGGCUAUACUAGCCACCACUUGGGGCAAAAUUCUCAGUUGCUGAUUUAUAAAAUGAAUUAAAGUAAUUGUUAAGUCCAUUGAUACUUUGUUUCUAAAUGCCUGUACUGUUUAUAAUGACGAUGUUAAUUUAAGGCGCUACUUGCCAAUGCACUUGACAUCAAAGAAGAGAUGCAUGCUGAACUGAUUGGACAGGAAUCGUGGUAAUUAUUCAGCAAUCCUUAGUAUCACCAAGUCUAUCUACAUGUUAUAAAGCUGGUGAUUGAGUCCUUUAGAAGCAAAGUUGUUGUCCCCACCCCCACCCCACCCCUGGGUGUUUUCCUUUUUUUAGAUAAGGCCUGUUGGAAGAACUUAUAUCAAGUUGUUAUGAAUUUGAAUAUCCUAAGACACCUGUUUUCAAAUGUGGCUACUCUUAGUGGAAAGUAAAAAAGAGUAACUUGAAUUGCUCAUGUUACGUCCCCGAGAAUUAAGGAUAAAAUGAAUGUAAUGAUUUGUAAACCAUCAGUGAAGGGCAGGUUCUUUCUGAAAUGCUUUGUCUUAUCAGCCCAAAUCCACGAAACCCACUACAUUGUGCCAAGUAAGGCUUUGCUAACACUAUCCUUUUACCAUAAGCAGCGAUUCAUCGUGGGGUGAGCAUAUAUUGCGAUUUAACUGCUGAAGGAAAGCAACUGGAUUACUCUAAAUCGAUUCAUUUUACUCUUUUCUUCUCUUUUGGGCUUGGUAGGCUUUUCUCUUUAAAAGUGAAAUUUAAUAAAAUAGUCUUAUAGAUGGAAUUAUCUUUUAAAUUCUAGGGGUUGAUUAAUAUUUGUAGUCGGCCAUUAGUUAAGAGUUUAAAUUUUAUUCAUGAUAGCAUUUUAAAAAUAGGCUGUGAAGCUCAGGAAAGGGGUAGGCAGGUCAAAUUUGUUUUUAUAGGUGAUUUUUUUUUUUGGAAAGCUAAUCUGCAGAAAUGGAUGAUUGUGACAGAACUUCCUCCUCCAGCCAAGAGUGCAUUCGGGAUUGCCCCAUGGACACUUUGCACGGAUUGUCGUGGGAGAGCUGGCCAAUCACCGUUGGACAUAUUUCAGAAUGCCUGGGUGGUGACGUUUAGAGAACUCUCUGUAUUUUGCAAUUUGAAAGAUGAUCACUUGCCAAGUUAGAUAGACUAGUGAAAUUGUUGGAAGUGGUACCUGAUGUCCUUUGAGGUUUGAGUGAGGUGUCUGAUUUCAGUGUCUGGAGUUCUGUCCUACGGGAGCACAUCAUUUAAAGAAAUGUUGACUGAUCAAACAGAUUGAGAAAACUAGGUGCCAAAGGUAUAUUUACCCCCUCCCCUGCCCCCCCAAAUACCAAAGACCUAAAGAUGAGUGUGAGGGAGACUGUGGUAAUGAAAAUAACAAUUGAAAUGAGGGCUUGCCCAGCACAGAGAAGAACUUUAUGAAAGGGUUUCAGAACGACUUGAUUACUAAUGUGUUUCAGGGCACUUUAUAGAUAAUAAUGAUAAUCAAGGAUACUGCUUUAUAUGAAGAUGUAUAGGUCUUCAGUAAUCAUAUGCCUUUGCAAAUUUAUAUACGGUGAUUUAUUAAAUAGCCUCUUCAUUUAAAGCCAACUUGUAACUAAGAAGGUCUUUCUUUAUUUCUUUCCUUUUUUUGAGAGAUUUUUCUUUUUAAAAUUUUGACUCAUUACUUACUCUCUCUAAUGAACCAUUGCUGUGAUUAACGUAGAUAUGUCUGGUACAAGGAAUGUUGGUGCCCUAAUUGGCAUGUAUUGUUGAAAACUACAGAUGUAUAAUUGGUACAAGUAUCAGAUUUGUAUUUAAUUAUAUUUUAUAUUUAAUUGCUGAAAAUUAGGGAAAAUGUUAGAACAAAAUGAAACAUUGUAACUGAAAGUCGUUUUUAAGGUGAUUUACUGGAGUACAACUGGUAAGAUAGCUUUGAAAUGCAAGUAUAGAUUUUAAACAUUAAUUUAAGAGCAAAAUUUAGCAUUGCUUUCAAAGAGUUUAUUUCACUUCUAAAAAAUAUCUAAUUUCUCAGACACUUAAAAAUACAUAAUUUUUUUUAAAAUGGGAUAUUAGUUGCAUAUGUUCCAAAUCUCACAGGAGACAUUAUAACAUCAUUUCUUAAGUAGAAUGAUCACCUUAAGAGUCUUAGGUUGUUCUUUUCUGAGAGGAACAUUUGGCCUGGUUGAUGAUAGUGUCUAUGAGGAAACACACAAGUACUAGCAGAUAUGCCUCAUCAAAAAAGCCAUAUAUUCAAAUUGCCAGAGGAUAAAGAUGCACAUACCUUUGAAUAGAAAAGAGAGGUUGAGAAAAGAAAUUGCCAAGAAAGUUUGAAAUUGUGUUUAUUGUAUGUAAGAAAUCUUAAGCAAAGCAACAGCGCUUGGGAAAUAAACCAGUAGCAGAUGUAAAAGUCUGUUUUGUGUGAUGGCAUCGUGAACUGAGCUCACUGAUACAUACAUUUGUCUGUAGAGAAGCAACUGUCUUAGAAAUCAGUGGUAUUUGUGAAUUGCUUUUAAAAAUGUGUUGAUUUCAAAACAAA